CGGCCACAUGACUUUGAAACACUGAUUCUCGAUUACCGAAGUUAAGCAACAUCGAGCCUGGACAGUUUUUAGAUGGGUGAUCGCUUGGGAAUACCAGGUGCUGUAA